GCAGCGAGUAUGACCCUCAUAUGCUGCAGUUGUUCAAACAUUCUCCCAUUUAUCGAUGCCAUGUUUUCUCUCUGAUGAAGGCGGUGGGUUGGGAUUGCAUUUAACAUCAAUCACAUCCAGUGCAAGGAGCGCAUACAGUCUUCAGUCUAUCAGCUGGAGAGUGUAUGCUCUCGCCUCGGGUAUGCGCUUAUUUGCUGUUUUAUCCAGUAAAACAAAAGAAAAAUCUGAUGCCGUUUUGACUGAAGAAGCGUUGGAGACUGCUACUACCGGAGCUGUCCUUUAUUUCCUACUCGAACAAAGCCUGAAGUUGGGACUUGAGGAGUUUUCAGCACCACUUUUCCGUGGACAGCGCUCGCAAUGAGUCCGGGAGAUCGACGCAGUCUCGUAACGCGUUUGGAUUUCCGCUUAAUAUUAUUUAGCAACAGUGUUUUCUCACUGAAAACACAACCGUAGUUGUUCGGGAAAUCUUGUUUUCUCUUAUACCAACAUUAAAAAAACGAGUUGUUCCUUGGAUACGGGUCCUUCCACGUACAUUUGUAUUGAGCAUGAAAGCUGGGAAUUUGCUCUGAAGCCUGUGGACCUGAGACAGCCCGGGGGCUCUGACAUACACCAAAUCCCUGCCCAGGGGAAUGGGGAAGAUUAAAAACUUCUGAUUGAGGUGGAGAGGAAAGAGACACAAAGACAGGGAGGGAGAGACAGAGGAGGAAGAAAGCUUAUCGUUCACCUUUGUUCUUCCUAAUGCCCCAAGUGAAGGAACUCCAAAGAAUAACAGGGAACACAAAAACAGCUGCCCACAACAGUGGUGAGAGGAUGGAGUGAGUAAAAGAAAAGAUAGAAACAGGACUACAUUCUGAGAAAGAGUAAGGCUUAUAUUCUACUCUAAUUGAAUGCCUGUGAAAGCAGAUAGACACAAGAGAAAUGCCUUUUUGUGAAACCUGUUUCAAGAGGCAUUGCAGUUAAACCUCUGGCCAUCAUAAAAUAAUACCUGGCUAUUGAUUUUUCCUGACUGCUGGUGUGGAUGUGUGCUCGGACAGUGAUCAUGUUUUAUCCUCCAACGUCUAAACCUAAUCGGAAUGGCUGUCAGAGAAACAUCCACAUUCUGCUGCUGCUACUGCUUCUUCUGUACAGCUUCCUCAAUGUCUCUCAGGCUGCAAAACCCAAGGGGCCAGGACAAACGCACUUGAACUCCAUCCGCAUUGAUGGAGAUAUCUCCUUAGGUGGGCUAUUCCCGGUGCAUGCCAGGGGCCACGAUGGGAAACCCUGCGGGGAGCUUAAGAAGGAGAAGGGCAUUCACCGACUUGAAGCCAUGCUCUUUGCCCUUGACCGUAUAAAUAAUGAUAAUAACCUCCUGCCGAACAUCACACUGGGAGCAAGAAUCCUGGACACCUGUUCUAGAGAUACUCAUGCCUUGGAGCAGUCACUCACUUUCGUCCAGGCUCUGAUUGAGAAGGAUGGGACAGAUGUCAAAUGUCUUGGAGGGGGGGCGCCAAUUAUCACCAAACCUGAGAGGGUAGUGGGCGUCAUUGGAGCCUCAUCAAGCUCUGUUUCCAUCAUGGUGGCCAAUAUACUGCGCCUGUUUAAGAUACCACAGGUGAGCUAUGCCUCUACAGCUCCGGAGCUGAGUGACAACACCCGCUACGACUUCUUUUCCCGUGUGGUGCCUCCAGACACGUAUCAGGCCCAGGCCAUGGUGGACAUCGUUAAGUCCAUGCGCUGGAACUAUGUCUCUACUGUGGCCUCAGAGGGAAACUACGGAGAGAGCGGCGUUGAUGCUUUCAUUCAGAAGUCUCGUGAGGAUGGUGGUGUGUGCAUCUCACAGUCUGUUAAGAUUCCCCGGGAACCUAAACAGGGAGAGUUUGACAUGAUCAUCCAAAGACUUGGGGAAAAUCCAAAUGCAAGGGUUGUCAUACUCUUUGCCAACGAAGACGAUAUCAGGCGGCUUCUCCAUGCAGCAAAAAAGGCCAACCAGACAGGUCAUUUUAUCUGGGUGGGUUCAGACAGCUGGGGCUCAAAGAUCUCUCCGGUUGUGCACCAGGAGGAGAUGGCAGAGGGAGCCGUCACCAUCUUACCGAAGCGACAGUCCAUCAAAGGGUUUGAUAGGUACUUCAUCAGCCGAACACUGGAAAACAACAGAAGGAAUAUCUGGUUUGCUGAGUUCUGGGAGAACAACUUCAACUGCAAACUCAGCCGUCAUGCAGUGAAAAAAGGGUCUGGGCUGAAAAAGUGCACAAAUCAGGAGCGAAUAGGAAAGGACUCGCAUUACGAGCAAGAAGGAAAGGUGCAGUUUGUUAUUGAUGCGGUGUAUUCAAUGGCUCAUGCUUUACACAACAUGCACAAAGAACUCUGCCCUGGGAAGGUGGGUCUCUGCGCUAAAAUGGAUCCCAUCAACGGAACCCACCUGCUCAAGCAUAUUCGCCGAUUGAAGUUCUCAGGUAUAGCUGGAAACCCAGUGCUCUUCAAUGAAAAUGGAGAUGCCCCAGGGCGCUAUGAGAUCUACCAAUACCAGAUUAGAAACCGAACAGCUGAAUAUAAAGUCAUUGGUAACUGGACAGAUCAGCUGCACCUGAAUGUGCGUUCGAUGCAGUGGCCGGGUGGAGUCCGUCAGAUCCCGUCCUCAAUUUGCAGUCAACCCUGUCAACCAGGCGAGCGCAAGAAGAUUGUGAAGGGCAUUCCUUGCUGUUGGCAUUGUGAGCGCUGUGAUGGUUAUCAAUAUCAGGCAGACACAUACACCUGUAAAAUGUGUCGCUUUGAUUUGCGUCCCAACGAGAAUCACACUGGCUGUGUUCCAAUCCCCAUUGUUAAACUGGAAUGGAGUUCCCCCUGGGCUGUCAUCCCUGUGCUCAUUGCUGUCCUUGGCAUCAUGGCCACUUUGUUUGUGGUGGUCACGUUCAUCCGUCACAAUGAUACUCCAAUUGUGAAGGCAUCAGGCAGAGAGCUGAGCUAUGUGCUGCUAACUGGAAUCUUCCUCUGCUAUGCCACAACAUUCCUGAUGAUUUCUACCCCUGAUGUCGGAAUCUGCUCCCUCCGCCGGAUCUUCUUGGGCCUUGGGAUGAGCAUUAGUUAUGCUGCCUUGCUCACCAAAACCAAUCGUAUUUACCGCAUCUUUGAGCAGGGUACUAUGUCUGUUAGUGCACCCAGGUUCAUUUCUCCAGCCUCUCAACUUAUCAUCACGUUUACACUGGCCUCAGUGCAGCUGCUCGGAGUGUGCAUUUGGUUUGGGAUGGAUCCAUCCAAGGCCAUUAUCGACUAUGAAGACCAGAGGACAUCUAACCCUGUUUUAGCUCGUGGUGUACUCAAGUGUGACAUCUCGGAUCUAUCCCUUAUCUGUUUGCUGGGCUACAGCAUGUUGCUCAUGGUCACCUGUACAGUCUAUGCCAUCAAAACAAGAGGAGUACCUGAGACGUUCAAUGAGGCCAAACCUAUUGGUUUUACGAUGUACACAACCUGUAUUAUUUGGCUUGCAUUCAUCCCAAUCUUCUUUGGCACUUCACAAUCCACAGAAAAGAUGUACAUCCAAACAACCACACUAACCAUCUCUGUGAGCCUGAGUGCUUCUGUGUCCCUCGGGUUGCUCUACAUGCCCAAGGUCUAUGUGAUUCUUUUACACCCAGAGCAGAAUGUGCCAAAGCGCACUCGCAGCCUGAAGGCCGUGGUUACAGCUGCCACCAUGUCCAACAAGUUCAACCCGAAGGCUGGACUCAGACCCAAUGGAGAGGCUAAGACUGAACUGUGUGAAAGCCUGGAGACACAAUGAAAAAUAAAAACUUGAUCAGUCUUGCCUCUCUGCAUAGAUCUUUUUACAUUUUCCAGCCCAAAUUUGGCCUGAAAAGCCUUUUCCACAAAGCAAACCUACAUCAGUUACAGCAACCAUGCAAUCUAAGGGACAAAGGUUCUUAUCUCAAAUCAAGAUUUCCACCCCGGCGGAGAAAAAAAAUAUACAAGCAGUGGAAUUUCACAGCUGAAAAAAGAAAGUGUCAUUUUGCAGGGGAGAUCACACAAGCAUUGCCCAAAGACAUGACACGCUGAGGAGAAACCACAAAGAGGGGCGGAGAUGGACAAAAGAGACGAAGGGAAGGAUAACUGUACAAUUUUAAGGCUCCAUCCUCUGUCAAUCAGCAAAAGGUUACACACAUAAAAAGAAAAAAAAAAACAUUUGCACAGCAGAGGCCUAGAGACUGAAGGAUGGAGCUUUUCUUCAGUGUUUACAUUUCAGCUAUGCCGUGUUUCACAAGGAUCUGUCAUCUCAUGCAUUGCUGACUGGAAAUGAAUCCAAAUCAAGAAUAUGUUUUUAGUGUUAAAUAUAAAUACUUUAAAUUCAUCACAAGGGAUUAAUCAACACCAAAAAGGCAUGAGGACAUGAUCCAUGGAUUUCUAAAACUGGCUUCUUUUUGUUUUUAUUUAUUAUACAUUCCAGAUGGAUGACUCAGCUCCUUGGUAACAGGGAUCAUUUCAACAAUGCAGCAGAUAUGUACCAGACUACAUGUGUUUUUCUGUCCUCUUUCAGGGUCCAACUGGGUGUAAGAAGGAUCGCACUUACAUAAGAGGAUCUUUGCUGUUUUUGAGCAUGCCAGUUUCAACAUCCUGUAUUGUGUUGUUUACCAAAUAAAAUAAGGAUAAAAAAGAAGAAGAAACAAUAUCUUUGGAAUGCUUUUAAACUUUGUUGCAGCGUUGUUGAAAUUGUUUAGGCACAAGCCUAUUGUACGUUCAAAAAUCUGUUUUCAAUUGGUGAAAAGGUCCAGUGAGUGAUUGUUUAUCUGUGCUUAAGUAAGAUCAUAAUUUGUAUUAACAGCUAGCCUGAAAGGCUACCACUGCCCUCCCCAUACUUGUAUGUACUUUGAAACGGUGGACCUCGGUCUGUUUUUUUGCCGCAGAGUUCUCACUGUUAGCCGUCAUCCAGGAUGACCCUUUCAUCACUGCCAUCAGCUGCCCUCCUCGUCACAUGAGAAAAGUGUAAGGCUAAGCUUAGCUGUACAGAUCCAUUAGGAAGGGGAAUUAAGAUAAAGAGUGCCCUUGUGGGGACUGUACAGUUUGCCCUGAGGAUGAUAUCCAUAAUGGGCCAGCUACAGAGAAAAGUCAUUAUUAUACAUGUCUUCAGGCACUCUCGUGAUAAAAGGGAAGGAUAAGGAAGUUGUAAAGCUUUUUGACAAAUGAAAAUCAAAUUGCAAAAGAUAUGCUAUAUCUCUAUCAAUCCACCCCAAGCUCGCUGAAUUAAUUAAUAUUUGGCUUUGUGCAAAUAUGAAAACCCUCUGAUGUCUCGGAAAACCAUUGUGAAAUCAUUUGUUUUGUGAGUUCAGUGCUGCUUCUCAUGCCCUUUUUAUUACUUUCAACAUCAUUUGUGUUGCAGAAUAAAAUGUGAGUGCUGACCAAAUUAAAUGGCAAGUUAAUGUAUGUUAUUAAAUAGAUUGAUGAUGUCUGCUUUAUGUCCUGACAUAUCCUAAAAUUGAGGAAAAUGUACAAAAAAGAUGCAGUGCCUGGCUAUAUGAUUAUGUAUUUGUAAAACCUCAAGACAACUUAAGAAGUGUGUGAAGCAUGUUUAGAUUUUUUAUACAAAAUGUAUUAUUUCUAUUAAAAAUCUUUGAAAACCUCUGGGUUUAAUUUCAGCAUCUUGUUAAUAGCAACUGAUUUAUUUCUCUACUGAAUACAGCUUUACAACACAAAGAGAAAUUAAGUCUGCAUUUGCAAAAAAGAAAGUAAAAGAAAAAUGACUUUAGUUCCUUGAACAUUACUUUAGGCUCAGGUAAUGGCACCAUAAUAUUGUGAAUUAGUGUAAGAAAACAUAAAAUAAUUUUACAUCAACACUUAUCCUUGCCAAAAUCCAAGGCCUUAGAUAGCUGCAAGCUUUCUGCAGCCGUCAUCACUUGCCCUGCAUACAAAAGCUUGAAAAUAACAGUUGUUGCAUGUCCAAAGUACACAAUGACAGAAAUAUACAUGGGGUAGUGUACAUUAUCCUCCCACAAUACAAAAGAGAGACAGAGAGAGUUGUCUCAUGAAAUUAUAGGGUUUUGCAUAAUAUACCGUCACGACUCACUGCGGUUUAUGCAUUUAAAUGAAAGUGUUUUAAUAAAUCUGAAAACAUUGUCCUUUUAAAUGAUAAAAUUAAAUAUAGAAAACAUAUUGGAUGGAUUGAUAAAAAUACUAAUCAUUUGCUCAGGUAAAAUGAACAUUUAAGACUUAUCUCUAAAGUUGAAAUGAUCUUUAAACCAAACUCCUGAGUCAAAACAAAAGGUUGAAACAUUGAUAAUCAACUCAUUUUAAAGGUACAGACCAUCAGAUUAAAUCUAUGCUUUUUAAACAAAAACAACCUGUGAGACACAGUUAAAACUACAUAUGUACUUUCUAAAGAAUAAAUUGCCAUGUGAUAGUACUCUCCAGAAAACACCCACUGUCUAUGUGUAGUAGCUAUAGUUAAAGAAUAUUUUAGAUUUUAUGAUGAAUAAUUUCUUUCUAACAGAAAUUUGUCAACUUGAUGUUUGUUGCCUUAUUGGCAGCACAAAGAAGGAAUGCAGAAGCUGAGUGCGCGCAAUUGAUGUUAAAUGGUGUAAAGAUUGAAUCUUUACAGACUUACAAAGAAUAAUCUUUUUAUUUAUACGCAAAGUUUGCCCUAGAAUUAUAAAAGAAUAAAGAAUGUGUGGAAUUUCUGACAACUUGUGGCACUGGGAUGCUUUUUCUUUACAACAGCAUAAUUGAAUGUAUUUAAUAGAAAUCUAUUUCAAAAUGCAUAUCAGCGACAGAAGAAAUGUCAGAAUAAUCUUGUUGCUAUAUUUCAACUAUUCUGUAAAAAAAAAAAGAAAAUUAAACAGACAAAGGUAUGAAAGUGA